rfam:Schistosoma mansoni strain Puerto Rico chromosome 3, complete genome
AUCUAGCUGACGAGUCCCAAAUAGGACGAGACGCUUGUCAAACUGUAU